rnacentral:rRNA from 1 species
UACGAAGGGGGCUAGCGUUGUUCGGAAUACUGGGCGUAAAGCGUGCGCAGGCGGCUUCUCAAGUCAGGGGUGAAAGCCCAGAGCUCAACUCUGGAAUUGCCUUUGAGACUGAGUGGCUUGAGUACGAGAGAGGUGAGUGGAAUUCCCAGUGUAGAGGUGAAAUUCGUAGAUAUUGGGAAGAACACCGGUGGCGAAGGCGGCUCACUGGCUCGUAACUGACGCUCAUGCACGACAGCGUGGGGGAUCAAACAGG